rnacentral:lncRNA from 1 species
AAUAUCUGUUAUCUUAUUGAAACAAUCCAUUAUCACAAAUUUAUAGUCAUAUCAGCUUGAGAUUAGAAGAUUUGUAAUAAAAUUCAUAAAAACAAAAGACCAUGAUUGUUUUAAUAUAUGUAGUGGUUAAAAAAGUUGAUAGGUCUAUUAAUUAGAAAUUUUUUAUUUUAAACAAACAUCACAUUAUUUUACAAAUUUUACUACUCACCU